GCCUACAUGAAGCUGGAACUGCUAGUAAUCACAGGUCAGCAUACUGUGGUGAAUACGUUCCCGGGCCUUGUACACACCGCCCGUCACACCAUGAGAGUCGAUAACACCCGAAGCCUGUGAGCUAACCUUUUAGGAGGCAGCAGUCGAAGGUGGGGUUGAUGAUUGGGGUGAAGUCGUAACAAGGUAUC
rnacentral:rRNA from 1 species